rnacentral:lncRNA from 1 species
GUUUUGAGGGGAGGGAGGCGCACUGGUUCUUUUUUCAGGACACAUUCCUGGGCCAAACCUUAGCCUGCCAUAAAAGGGAGUGCUACAGUCUGCUGGUUUGAGACUUAACAUCUGGAGUUCUGGAGCGCAACCCAGGUUAUGAAACUAGUGGCUGUGGUGUGUUUUUUUUUUGGGGGGGGGGGGGGGGGCAGGAUAAUUGGCAGUGACUGCGAGCAUGGCAUGUUACUGUGUCUCAACACAUCCACGCUAUAUUUCUCUCUCUGCCCUCAGCCGUGUUACGGAGGCUCAGCUCCUCAGCCCUACAGUGCUGCUCUAAAGUGGUGUGUGGGGGGGGGGGGGGGGGUGACGGGCUCUGGAUGAGCAGAGGUCCCGUCUGUCUGGGACAAAGGUUGAGUUGUCAGAGCAGCUUGGAUGGAGCUGCAUCGGUCAUUCACUGCCUCGCCCGGGAGGACGUGCGGACUAGCAGGCGUGAUGUGCCAUACCACAGACAACGGCCAAGCAGGCCUUGCUCUCUUUAAUUCUGAGACCUCCAUCCACCUGGCCCUGCCAAAAUGUACAAAUCUGAGGUAUGGCCUAAGGAAGUUGUGGUAGACUGUUAAGGAUUUAGGAGAAGUGAAGCACUGGACAUCGAAUGGAGCCAAUUUGUUUGCUGCAAAGGCUCACCUACUGAAAUCGAGACCCCAACAUACACGCACGCACGCACGCACCGAAUGAAUGUCCUGGUGGUGUCCGAGUUAUGUGUCAGGUUUACAGAAGUAGGGGGUGUGGCUCCGUGACCCCAGCCAUCCUUGGCGUCUGCUCUCGCUAAUUAAGAUACUUUUCGCUUUGCUACAGUCCAUCCAUCUGGGGGAACACGAUGCUGGUCUCAACGCUACCAUUGUCAGCUGUCUGGCUGGCACCCGGAGGUUGCCCCCCAUCCAGGACCCCUCUGCCCAGAUGUGCCCGAGGAACGGUCACUCUCACCACAAGGCAGAGGUUCCUCAGUAUCCCCUCUCUUUGGAAAGGGGAAUGUGCAGAAACAAACAGAGUUAAAAGAGUGUGGCGUGACGAUGGGGGCUGCCUAUGGAAACCAUCCUUUUUUACAACUUUUAUAAGUGCAUUCGGACUGAGUGGGAAGAAAGCACGUGAGCGACAGCACAGCUUGGCUAUUCCUUCGCAGAUGUCAGCACUUGUGUAAUUUUCUUGAUUUAUCCACUUGUUUUUUGGCACUAGUCCGAAACACACACACACACACACACACACACACUCAGUGUCAGCCAGCUUACAGCCCUGUGUGGACACUGUGUGCAGUUUGGGCCUCGUGGUCUUUCCCCCACAUGCUAGGAGGGGACGGGACAGAACCUCUCUCACUGUGUGCGUUGUCCAAGCCGUCCCCCCACCGUCACAGUGGAUCUCACAAUCCAGGUGCCUUUGGC